CCUACGGGUGGCAGCAGUGGGGAAUAUUGCACAAUGGGGGAAACCCUGAUGCAGCGACGCCGCGUGAGUGAAGAAGUACUUCGGUAUGUAAAGCUCUAUCAGCAGGGAAGAAAUAGCGACCUUUGGGUCGCCAGACGGUACCUGACUAAGAAGCCCCGGCUAACUACGUGCCAGCUGCCGGGGUAAUACGUAGGGGGCAAGCGUUACCCGGAUUUACUGGGUGUAAAGGGAGCGUAGACGGCAGCACAAGUCUGAAGUGAAAUGCCGGGGCUUAACCCCGGAACUGCUUUGGAAACUGUGCAGCUUGAGUGCAGAAGAGGAGAGUGGAACUCCAUGUGUAGCGGUGAAAUGCGUAGAUAUAAGGAAGAACACCAGUGGCGAAGGCGGCUCUCUGGUCUGUAACUGACGCUGAGGUACGAAAGCGUGGGUAGCAAACAGGAUUAGAUACCCUGGUAGUC
rnacentral:rRNA from 1 species